CCUACGGGAGGCUGCAGUGAGGAAUAUUGGUCAAUGGACGAGAGUCUGAACCAGCCAAGUAGCGUGAAGGAUGACUGCCCUAUGGGUUGUAAACUUCUUUUAUAUGGGAAUAAAAUGUUCCACGUGUGGGAUUUUGUAUGUACCAUAUGAAUAAGGAUCGGCUAACUCCGUGCCAGCAGCCGCGGUAAUACGGAGGAUCCGAGCGUUAUCCGGAUUUAUUGGGUUUAAAGGGAGCGUAGGUGGAUUGUUAAGUCAGUUGUGAAAGUUUGCGGCUCAACCGUAAAAUUGCAGUUGAAACUGGCAGUCUUGAGUACAGUAGAGGUGGGCGGAAUUCGUGGUGUAGCGGUGAAAUGCUUAGAUAUCACGAAGAACUCCGAUUGCGAAGGUAGUUCACUGGACUGCAACUGACACUGAGGCUCGAAAGUGUGGGUAUCAAACAGGAUUAGAUACCCGAGUAGUC
rnacentral:rRNA from 1 species